UAGGGAAUCUUCCGCAAUGGACGAAAGUCUGACGGAGCAACGCCGCGUGAGUGAAGAAGGAUUUCGGUUCGUAAAACUCUGUUGUUAGGGAAGAAAAAAUGUAUAGUAACUAUAUACAAAAGAGACGGUACCUAACCAGAAAGCCACGGCUAAAUACGUGCCAGCAGCCGCGGUAAUACGUAUGUCGCGAGCGUUAUCCGGAAUUAUUGGGCUUAAAGGGCAUCUAGGCGGUUAAACAAGUUGAAGGUGAAAACCUGUGGCUCAACCAUAGGCUUGCCUACAAAACUGUAUAACUAGAGUACUGGAAAGGUGGGUGGAACUACACGAGUAGAGGUGAAAUUCGUAGAUAUGUGUAGGAAUGCCGAUGAUGAAGAUAACUCACUGGACAGCAACUGACGCUGAAGUGCGAAAGCUAGGGGAGCAAACAGG
rnacentral:rRNA from 1 species